CCGCCUGGGGAGUACGGCCGCAAGGUUAAAACUCAAAUGAAUUGACGGGGGCCCGCACAAGCGGUGGAGCAUGUGGUUUAAUUCGAUGCAACGCGAAGAACCUUACCUGGUCUUGACAUCCACAGAACUUUCCAGAGAUGGAUUGGUGCCUUCGGGAACUGUGAGACAGGUGCUGCAUGGCUGUCGUCAGCUCGUGUUGUGAAAUGUUGGGUUAAGUCCCGCAACGAGCGCAACCCUUAUCCUUUGUUGCCAGCGGUCCGGCCGGGAACUCAAAGGAGACUGCCAGUGAUAAACUGGAGGAAGGUGGGGAUGACGUCAAGUCAUCAUGGCCCUUACGACCAGGGCUACACACGUGCUACAAUGGCGCAUACAAAGAGAAGCGACCUCGCGAGAGCAAGCGGACCUCAUAAAGUGCGUCGUAGUCCGGAUUGGAGUCUGCAACUCGACUCCAUGAAGUCGGAAUCGCUAGUAAUCGUGGAUCAGAAUGCCACGGUGAAUACGUUCCCGGGCCUUGUACACACCGCCCGUCACACCAUGGGAGUGGGUUGCAAAAGAAGUAGGUAGCUUAACCUUCGGGAGGGCGCUUACCACUUUGUGAUUCAUGACUGGGGUGAAGUCGUAACAAGGUAACCGUAGGGGAACCUGCGGUUGGAUCACCUCCUUACCUUAAAGAA
rnacentral:rRNA from 1 species